rnacentral:rRNA from 1 species
UCUGAAUCUGCGAACGGCUCCGCAAACCAGUUGUAAGCAAUAGCAAGGAUGCUCGUCGAACCCGGGGCUCGCGCCCCGGCAAGUAGGCGGGCAACAAGGAUACCCCUGGUAAUCCUGAGGCUAAUACUUGACCGUAACGACCUUGGCAGCCCUCGCGGCAGCCGGGGACCGUGCGAUCACUCAAAGCGGUGGGAAACCAUCCGGGAAAGGACGCACAGUCAAACCGCGGCAAAAAAAGGUUCGGCGGAAUCCCUCGGCCUUCGCGGUCGGGGGAGAAGCCGUUUCUCGCGGGUCUUGCACUGCGCUUCUGACCUAUCAACUGUAUAGCAGUGUAAGGGACAUGCUAUGGU